ensembl:ncRNA lncRNA:CR44371 long non-coding RNA:CR44371
CGCGGUCGCUGAGUGGGCAGAGAAGUCCUUGCCGCGCGCGUGUGUGUGUGAGGACAAAAAGCACGGCAUACACUGCACACACACACACAUAGGAGCAGGAAGAGCAGAGAGCAUCGAGCAGCGAGCAAGGAGCAGCGAGCGAAGGAUAACCGCACACCACCCACCCACCAACGGAGACUUUUAGUGGCAACUCUGGUGGCGCAUUUGCUUGUUGGCUUGCUUUGAUUCGUUCCUUCUUGAUGCUGCGGCAGGAGCUUGUCCUCGCUGUUAGUGUUAGUGUGUUGGUGUGCGGCCCUGCGAGUGUGGGUAAGCCAAGCCGCAAUCGCAAUCUCCAAUAAACACCCGGCUCUGCGCUCUCUGCGCACACACACAAGCACACAUACCAAGGCACUCGAAAGAGCAGAGAACGCCCGGUCGCCAUCAUGACUCAAAAAAGCUGAGCGACGGCGGGGAGCGGAAACGGAAGUGGGCGGGAGAGCGGAAGUGGAGCAGAGCAAUGGUGGCGCCCCACCAAUACAACCAUGAAACGAAUGACGCAGCUGCGCGGCUGGCGCUCGUAUAAUCGUCUUGGGUUUUGACAUUUUGUUUUUGUUUUAUAAUACCCUUUGUGAUGUCGGCGCUUUCGAGCUUGCGUCGUCCUGCCCCUCGAUCCUUUCGCUAACAGUUUGGCCCCCCUCUUGACCCUCUGCCAACGACGUCACUCUUGGCCUCGUAUUCUAACCGCCCCCUAAAAGCCCCAACUUCCACCCAGAAAUUGCCGCCACCCAGUAAACUGUAAUUGAAUUGAAGAAGAAAAUGUUU